GACGUAGGGCGCAAGCGUUGUCCGGAUUUAUUGUGCGUAAAGAGCUCGUAGGCGGCCUGUCGCGUCGACCGUGAAAACCCGCAGCUCAACUGCGGGCUUGCGGUCGAUACGGGCAGGCUGGAGUUCGGUAGGGGAGACUGGAAUUCCUGGUGUAGCGGUGAAAUGCGCAGAUAUCAGGAGGAACACCGGUGGCGAAGGCGGGUCUCUGGGCCAUUACUGACACUGAGAAGCGAAAGCAUGGGGAGCGAACAGG
rnacentral:rRNA from 1 species